UCAGGAUGAACGCUGGCGGCGUGCCUAAUACAUGCAAGUCGAACGAAGCACCUCGGUGCUUAGUGGCGAACGGGUGAGUAACACGUGGGUAACCUGCCCUCAAGACGAGGAUAACCGUUGGAAACGAUGGCUAAGACUGGGUAGGAAUACGGGAGGCAUCUUCUGUAUUUUAAAAGACCUGGCAACAGGUAUGCUUGAGGAGGGGCCUGCGGCGCAUUAGUUAGUUGGUGAGGUGAUGGCUCACCAAGACGAUGAUGCGUAGCCGGACUGAGAGGUUGAACGGCCACAUUGGGACUGAGAGACGGCCCAAACUCCUACGGGAGGCAGCAGUAAGGAAUUUUCGGCAAUGGGGGAAACCCUGACCGAGCAACGCCGCGUGAACGACGAAGUACUUCGGUAUGUAAAGUUCUUUUAAGAGGGAAGAAUGGCCCGUGGAAAAGCGGGCGUGACGGUACCUUUUGAAUAAGCCCCGGCUAACUAUGUGCCAGCCGCCGC
rnacentral:rRNA from 1 species